AACGUAGGUGGCAAGCGUUGUCCGGAAUUACUGGGUGUAAAGGGAGCGCAGGCGGGUCUGCAAGUUGGAAGUGAAACUCAUGGGCUCAACCCAUGAACUGCUUUCAAAACUGCGGAUCUUGAGUGGUGUAGAGGUAGGCGGAAUUCCCGGUGUAGCGGUGGAAUGCGUAGAUAUCGGGAGGAACACCAGUGGCGAAGGCGGCCUACUGGGCACUAACUGACGCUGAGGCUCGAAAGCAUGGGUAGCAAACAGG
rnacentral:rRNA from 1 species